rnacentral:lncRNA from 1 species
UCUGAAUCCCCUCCUCCCUCAAUUCUCUCUCAAACCCUCUUAAGACCUAGCCGCCUCCCUCAACUACAACUUUAAUGUCUCCCAAAUCAAUGGCUUCCAAGGUCAUCGAAGGCCUGUAUCUACCUCUCAUGGCUUGUACGUGCUCAAUUAUUGUGGUCUCGAGGCUAGAUCUUGAAAGAUUUUGGUCCAAACAUUGGUCGAUUUUAGUUUAUGGCUGUUCUCCGACCGUCUCUGACCUUUCUCCUGUCGGCCAUGGCUAUUCGAGUCCGACUCUUAACUCUCCUACUUUGAUCGAUGGUUUUCGAAGCCUUUCUUACCACUUGGGCUUCUUCUGAAACCCUAAUCUUUAAGGUUCUCUCGAUUUCUCUUAGAUCUAUUUCAGAUCUAUGUCUGCUCAGAACUUUUAAGCAUUUUUUCUCGAAGUUUCUUUUAAAACUCCGUUUUCAAUACUCCUUAUCUUUCUGAUUAGAUUCUGCUAAGUUAUUUCGAAACCUUUCUUUGAUUAUUUCAUAUGUUUUGCUAUGUUUGCUUGUAUUAUCCUUCUGCCUGAGUUUGCAUAUUAAAACCCCUGAUUUCUUUUAACUAUUUAUUAGUCGAAUGUUUGUUUGCCUGAGUUUUUGUCCGAUCUGUUUGUUUAUCCUCUUUUUAAGACUCUUCUGUUGUUGAAAAUCUAAUGGUUUUGGGUCUGAGACUGUUCGUUUAAGUGCAUGACUCGAUUUGAAGUUCUUUACUUCAAAAUCUCUUAUUCAUUUUGCGUGAUUCUUCUGAUUCAGGGUUUCUAUCUUCUCUAAAACUCAAAUAUGCGUGAAACCCUAAUUUUUCUAAGUGGGUUUUCCUUAUCUGCUAUCAUGAGAUCUUUGCAUGCCUCUAAUAUUCUAUGUUUUCUUCACUACUGACUCAAUAUGAUUUGACUUACUGAACUAUCAUGCUUCGAGUGGAUCUGUCUACUGAAUUUUUGUGCUACUGUUGUAUGUUAUUUCCUCUUGCCAAUCGACCUGGCCUCGCAUGUAUGAUGUUGAUGCACCCUAUUUAUAUGUUGAAAUUCCAUCUUUAUUUGCUCUUCAAACUUGUGGCUGAUUUCAAACUUUUCCUUUGUGAAAUUCGAAUUUCACUCGCCUAUUAAGGUUAAUUGAUUUCUUUUCUUUUUUUACCUUAUUGAAUCCUUUCCAAAUAAGAAUCUCUUUGCACCUAGACUCGAUUGCUUACUUUUUAUUUUACUACUUCUUUUAUGGUAACUGUCAUCCUGCUUUUUGAUCGAUUUCUUUCCUUAUUUUGAACCUGUUAUUGCCUGUUAAGCAAGUGAUCCCUUAAUUAAGGGCAAUCACUUGUAUAAUUGAUUCUGAAUAGGAUUGUUUCCAUGUUUGUAAUUUAUUACCUCUCUUUCACUCGUUUUCAAAAACUAUAAAUACCAUAUGCUUCUUUUCUAUCGAAAAUACGAACAUAAUGCACAACACCCUUGAGUUCAAACACACACUACAUUUAACCUCUCUUUCUUCUCUGUUACUACUAUAUUGCUACCUUACCUAUCCGUCUAAAAGCCAAUGAUAGACUGUGGGAAACUUGCUUAUUUUCUGCAUUUUCAUUGUUUACUAGUAUGUUCUAAUUAAGUUUUCUCUGCCAGCAACAACAUGCUUACUUAAUGUUCUUGCAUUCUUGUCUGCCUACUUCUUGUAUUUAAUGCAGUACCAUUAUUUAGCAUGCUAUAAUUUCCUUUCUUUUGUUCUGAAUCAAUGUAUUAUGAAUCCCAAAUACCUACCCUCAAUGUGUUUAACACUUGUAGGAUUAUAACCUUCAUGUUCCCUUAUAUGUUGUGUAAUCUGGUUGAUUCACAGACAUGUCAGCACUUCAUAUUGUCGUGCAUGCCCAAAGUUAACCCUUGCUUAAGCAUUAAGGCUCCUUGCAAUGAAUUCCCAAUCCCCUGCCCCUUUGUGUGAAGUUAUCAACUCUUCGAAGUGUUAAUGGUUGUCUCCCAUCACCUUUUAUCUCACAUUUAUUCCCUCAACUUUUUAAAUUCAGUUUCUGCACUUACACUAUCUCUUAGACUUAAGUUUUGUACCCUCAUGUGAGCCUUUACUUGGGACCCAUGAGCUUCCUCCGAACUUUAACAAAUGAGGGUUGGCAUUUCCACAGUGCCCUUGUCCCUAUUUUGGUUAUGAAACUUGGUUUUGAGCACUGCCCGGGGUCCUAUUGAGGCCCUUAGGGAAUUCUGAGACACUCAAGUCUGAGAAAUGCUUUGUAUCAAUGGUCUUUGAGUUGGUUUAUCUCUUAACUUAGAUAGGAAGUUAAGAAUCAGGCUUCCUCUGGUUGUAAUUCUUUUCUUUGUAUUUUACUGAUAUAAUUUAGUAUUCCUAAUUUGUAAUAAUUUGUAAUGGACAUUUGGGACUGGCUAGUGAAAAGGGU